CAUUGAUUGCUUCGUUCUCAGCAACAAGUAAAGUGGAUGUUUAUAUACACUGAAGACGAUGACACAUGAAGAUGUUUUUCGUAAAUUCGCAACAAUACAUUCUUUAUAGCUUUCCGAUAAGCUCCCUCUCUUGUCUGGUUAGUUCAGGGGCCAUUCAAAAAAUACGUGACGCUCGUGGGGGUAGGGGUGUUUGGUCGGGAGUCACAUAGUGUCACAAGUGGGGGAGAGGUAUCACAAACGGUAUCACGUGACGGAGAGGCGUAUAUGGGAAAAUUUAUCCCUGUCUAUAACAAAACAAGACCACUCCCGUUUAUAACGAACCAGCGAGAACCUGAGUGGGAAACUGUUUAGGCCGAGGUUUAAUAAAUCAUUGAAAUAGUGUCGAUUUAUAUAUAUAGAUAACAUUUUGAAUCUGUUGUUGCAUAUUAAAUUUGUGUUUUGUGAGUAUUUUGGGGGGAAGGGAUGUUUGGCUCAGAGUCACGUAUUUUAUGAUGGGGUGUGCUGCUCGCUGUCACACAUUGUCAUAAGGGGGUAGGGAGGAGUAAAAAUUUGGCAAAAGCAGCGUCACGUAUUUUGUGAAUAACCCCAUCAAAUGCACGUCAGUCAUGAACAAGGAGUACGUGCAUGCUGUAUGAAGCAUUAGGUAGCAGAAAAAAUUAUUUAACUUAAUUUGAUUUAAUUUUAAUUUAUCAACUUCGC